rnacentral:rRNA from 1 species
AGAGCGAACGCUGGCGGCAUGCUUAACACAUGCAAGUCGCACGAUCGGGGGUAACUCCGGUAGUGGCGGACGGGUGAGUAACGCGUAGGUAUCUAUCCUUGGGUGGGGGACAACCACGGGAAACUGUGGCUAAUACCGCAUGACGACUGAGGUCCAAAGGCCGAAAGGUCGCCUGAGGAGGAGCCUGCGUCCGAUUAGCUUGUUGGUGGGGUAAUGGCCUACCAAGGCUGCGAUCGGUAGCUGGUCUGAGAGGAUGAUCAGCCACAUUGGGACUGAGACACGGCCCAAACUCCUACGGGAGGCAGCAGUGGGGAAUAUUGGACAAUGGGCGAAAGCCUGAUCCAGCAAUGCCGCGUGUGUGAAGAAGGUCUUCGGAUUGUAAAGCACUUUCGACGGGGACGAUGAUGACGGUACCCGUAGAAGAAGCCCCGGCUAACUUCGCGCCAGCAGCCGC